UACGGAGGGUGCGAGCGUUGUCCGGAAUCACUGGGCGUAAAGGGCGCGUAGGCGGCCUGGUAAGUAGGGGGUGAAAUCCUGCGGCUUAACCGCAGGGCUGCCUUCUAAACUGUCAGGCUUGAGCACAGUAGAGGCAGGUGGAAUUCCCGGUGUAGCGGUGGAAUGCGCAGAUAUCAGGAGGAACACCAAUAGCGAAGGCAGCUCGCUGGGACGGUACUGACGCUAAGGCGCGAAAGCGUGGGGAGCGAACAGG
rnacentral:rRNA from 1 species